UUAUAUAUAUGUUUUUUUCCCCCUGUCAGGAUGAACGCUGGCGGCGUGCCUAAUACAUGCAAGUCGAGCGAACAGACGAGGAGCUUGCUCCUUUGACGUUAGCGGCGGACGGGUGAGUAACACGUAGGUAACCUACCUAUAAGACUGGGAUAACUUCGGGAAACCGGAGCUAAUACCGGAUAAUAUUUCGAACCGCAUGGUUCGAUAGUGAAAGAUGGCUUUGCUAUCACUUAUAGAUGGACCUGCGCCGUAUUAGCUAGUUGGUAAGGUAACGGCUUACCAAGGCAACGAUACGUAGCCGACCUGAGAGGGUGAUCGGCCACACUGGAACUGAGACACGGUCCAGACUCCUACGGGAGGCAGCAGUAGGGAAUCUUCCGCAAUGGGCGAAAGCCUGACGGAGCAACGCCGCGUGAGUGAUGAAGGUCUUCGGAUCGUAAAACUCUGUUAUUAGGGAAGAACAAACGUGUAAGUAACUGUGCACGUCUUGACGGUACCUAAUCAGAAAGCCACGGCUAACUACGUGCCAGCAGCCGCGGUAAUACGUAGGUGGCAAGCGUUAUCCGGAAUUAUUGGGCGUAAAGCGCGCGUAGGCGGUUUUUUAAGUCUGAUGUGAAAGCCCACGGCUCAACCGUGGAGGGUCAUUGGAAACUGGAAAACUUGAGUGCAGAAGAGGAAAGUGGAAUUCCAUGUGUAGCGGUGAAAUGCGCAGAGAUAUGGAGGAACACCAGUGGCGAAGGCGACUUUCUGGUCUGUAACUGACGCUGAUGUGCGAAAGCGUGGGGAUCAAACAGGAUUAGAUACCCUGGUAGUCCACGCCGUAAACGAUGAGUGCUAAGUGUUAAGGGGGUUUCCGCCCCUUAGUGCUGCAGCUAACGCAUUAAGCACUCCGCCCGGGGGAGUACGACCGCAAGGUUGAACCAGAAA
rnacentral:rRNA from 1 species